UUGAUUUGUUUGGUUUGUUUGGUUGGUUGGUUUGGUUGGUUUGGUUGGUUUGGUUGGUUUGGUUUGGUUGGUUUGGUUGGUUUGGUUUGUUUGGUUGGUUUGGUUUGUUUGCUUGGUUUAGUUGGUUUAGUUGGUUUGGUUUGGUUUGGUUUGGUUUGGUUUGGUUUGGUUUGGUUUGGUUUGGUUUGGUUUGGUUUGGUUUGGUUUGGUUUGGUUGGUUUGGUUUGGUUGCUCUUG